rnacentral:rRNA from 1 species
GGAUGAAGGGAGCUUGCUCCUGGAUUCAGCGGCGGACGGGUGAGUAAUGCCUAGGAAUCUGCCUGGUAGUGGGGGAUAACGUCCGGAAACGGGCGCUAAUACCGCAUACGUCCUGAGGGAGAAAGUGGGGGAUCUUCGGACCUCACGCUAUCAGAUGAGCCUAGGUCGGAUUAGCUAGUUGGUGGGGUAAAGGCCUACCAAGGCGACGAUCCGUAACUGGUCUGAGAAGAUGAUCAGUCACACUGGAACUGAGACACGGUCCAGACUCCUACGGGAGGCAGCAGUGGGGAAUAUUGGACAAUGGGCGAAAGCCUGAUCCAGCCAUGCCGCGUGUGUGAAGAAGGUCUUCGGAUUGUAAAGCACUUUAAGUUGGGAGGAAGGGCAGUAAGUUAAUACCUUGCUGUUUUGACGUUACCAACAGAAUAAGCACCGGCUAACUUCGUGCCAGCAGCCGCGGUAAUACGAAGGGUGCAAGCGUUAAUCGGAAUUACUGGGCGUAAAGCGCGCGUAGGUGGUUCAGCAAGUUGGAUGUGAAAUCCCCGGGCUCAACCUGGGAACUGCAUCCAAAACUACUGAGCUAGAGUACGGUAGAGGGUGGUGGAAUUUCCUGUGUAGCGGUGAAAUGCGUAGAUAUAGGAAGGAACACCAGUGGCGAAGGCGACCACCUGGACUGAUACUGACACUGAGGUGGGAAAGCGUGGGGAGCAAACAGGAUUAGAUACCCUGGUAGUCCACGCCGUAAACGAUGUCGACUAGCCGUUGGGAUCCUUGAGAUCUUAGUGGCGCAGCUAACGCGAUAAGUCGACCGCCUGGGGAGUACGG